rnacentral:rRNA from 1 species
AUUGAACGCUGGCGGCAUGCUUUACACAUGCAAGUCGAACGGCAGCGCGGGCUUCGGCCUGGCGGCGAGUGGCGAACGGGUGAGUAAUGCAUCGGAACGUGCCCAGUAGUGGGGGAUAGCCCGGCGAAAGCCGGAUUAAUACCGCAUACGACCUGAGGGUGAAAGCGGGGGACCGAAAGGCCUCGCGCUAUUGGAGCGGCCGAUGUCGGAUUAGCUAGUUGGUGGGGUAAAGGCUUACCAAGGCGACGAUCCGUAGCUGGUCUGAGAGGACGACCAGCCACACUGGGACUGAGACACGGCCCAGACUCCUACGGGAGGCAGCAGUGGGGAAUUUUGGACAAUGGGGGCAACCCUGAUCCCGCCAUGCCGCGUGCGGGAAGAAGGCCUUCGGGUUGUAAACCGCUUUUGUUCGGGAAGAAAUCCUCUGGGCUAAUACCCCGGGGGGAUGACGGUACCGGAAGAAUAAGCACCGGCUAACUACGUG